UGAGCCACAACCCCAGCCCCCAAAUGAUAUUAUUUCUUAAACUUAUUCCCAAAGUUAAGAAAAAAAAAAGGGAUUUGACUCAUUUUAACCAUACAGAACCAUUGAUUCUGAUAUAAUGGUGGAUACAAAUAACAUUGUUACCUCAUACUUAUAUCUUCCAAUUUUUAACUAUAGCUUUUGUGUUUGUUUUCAAUUUGACAAGGUUUAUAACAUUCAUAUCGCUCCCUGUCACUAUACAACUUAGUUUCAAUUCUGUGUGUAAAAUAUAGAUGCUCUUCAACUUACAGUGAAUGGUUUUAUAUCCUGAUAAACCAUCAUAAAUUGAAAAUAUUAUAAGUAAAAAAAAGAAAAGUUUAGCUUAGCCUACCUUAGACAUCACUACCAGUGCUGAAAGGUGGAUCUUUAGCCCAUCAUGAGUAGCAGUUGAAUUUUCUAAACUACAAAUAAAUAUCUCCGGCCUGAUAAAAGAUUUUUAUGAUUUUCCUGGUUUAAGCGGCAGUUUAGAAGACAAAGAGCCUCAGUUUAAGUACUUGAGUCAUGCUGAUGGAUUAUAAGAUAGUAGGAAAGAAAUAAAAUGUGUAUGUUUUAGAAUAAUCUAAGAAUUUGAAUAACUAAAAAUGGCUCUAAUAAAUUAGUAGAUAUGAAGCUAUUGUGAUAAAGGAAAUAACUCUAACUCAGAAUUAGGACAAAUAGAUAAAACAUCAGGGACAUUGUUUCCAAAUAACAUAUACAAAGAAUUCUGAAGUUAAAAAUAGAAGGAUAACAUUAGUUAGGUAAACUUUAUAGGGAAAAGAAGUAGUGUCCUACUUGAGCUAGAAAUAUGGGAAUUUGAAAAGUGAAGAAUAAAAUUUAUUUUAGGUGAAUGAACAUCUUCAGAUGGAAAAGGAACAAGGAAAGAUGAAAAUGGAAUGGCCCAGUGCAAAGUCAGUACCAAACCAUUGAGUGAUUAAGGAUAAAGUGGCACAGCAGAAAGAUGAUAGUUUACCACCUUCCUGAUUAGAUAACAAGUCACAUCUCCCUUCAAUGGAUACCAAAUGUUUCCUCUACCUUGAAAGCUGUUGAGAUAAUUGGAUUACAAAGAAUGACCCUUUUCUCCCUUCAUCAACGUUGCCUUUACUUAUUAUCUGCAAUGGAACACACCAGUGCCCACUUGAUAAAUAAAAACAAAAGCUCAGUGA